rnacentral:misc_RNA from 1 species
GAUGAAGAACGCAGCGAAAUGCGAUAAGUAAUGUGAAUUUCAGAAUUCAGUGAAUCAUCGAAUCUUUGAACGCACCUUGCACCCUUUGGCAUUCCGAAGGGUAUGCUCGUUUGAGUGUCAUUGUGCCCUCACACUUCCAAUCUUUGGAUUGGGAGCAGUGGACUUGGGUGUUGCUGCUUACUGUGGCUCACCUCAAAUCGAUUCGUGCACCUCUUGGUUGGACAUAGUACGGCGUGAUAAGUGUCUUCGCCGGCACCUCAGUAGAGGGUGGCUGAUCAGGAGCUCUGUGCUUCAAACCGUCCUCGGACAACAACUGACAACUUGACCUCAAAUCGAGUAGGACUACCCGCUGAACUUAAGCAUAUCAAUAAGCGGAGGA